AUAAAAGUGACUCAACUCCUCUGUCUUCAAACAUUGAUGAGUCAACCAUCUUGGGGCGCAAUAAAAUGUCUCGUAUGAUGAACUAUUUAAUAAAUGAAGGAACGAGGACUCCAGAAAUAAUGGAACCUGUGUUAUCAGCUUUAGAAGAUUUGGUUGCAAAUGUUCGUCAAAAAUGUGGAGUCGAAGAAGAAACUAGUAUUGACAAGAAUGUUGAGGGUGGUGAAAGCAAUCUAUUGUUCAAUGCACAUUCUAAGAACUCUUACGUAGUACUUGAUCCGAUGGUUGUUAGUACUAAAGGCCGAACGAGUAAAAGAUAUAAAUCUGGCAGGGAGGAGAAUAGUAAGUUAUGUCGUGGGUGUAACAAGUGGGUUAUUGGGCAUGAUAAACGAAAUUGUCCUAUAUAUAACCAACUUGAUAAUGCAUCUGAAGAAGCCAGGUAUAUAUUUUUUUCUUGUAUUUUUAUUUGAUUUCUUACAUACAUUGCAUUAUUUUAAACUACAUUCAUUAUCUCCACAGUUAUGGCAGUAACGUUGAAAGAGGAAAGGGAAAAGCAGUUGGUAGGCCAAGAGGAAAAAAUAUAGUACAGGGUCGUGGUAGGAUGUUAAAUCAAGAUUGAUCGGUACCAAAGGCAUGGUGUCUUAAAUGUCUACAAGCUUGCGCCAUCGGCUACAUGAAUAACUUGAAAUUGUUUACUAAGAAGAUACCUAUUAUAGAUUACGGA